CGCUGCGUGGCAAGUCACCCUGACGUUGGUGCCAUGCAAGAUGUCACACGGGCGAUCCGCGUGCCCCGCAAUCGAACGACCCAGGUUAGAUCCCACACGCGUGGACGGUCGGGAUUUUUUCUCCCUUUAAAUGCGAUCAGACGGUCGAGAUCAAAUCGCAAUGAAUGAUUCAGAUUCAUUUCUUCUUUCAACGCGAUCGGACGGUUAAGAUCAAACUCGAACGGCCCAGAUUCGUUUCCUCCUUAAGCGUGAUCGAAUGGUCGAGAUCAAAUGCGAUGAACGGUCCAGAUUAACGUAAUAUGAGUAUAAAUAUUUUGCAUCACACCCAAUACAU
rnacentral:lncRNA from 1 species